UGACCAAUGUAACCACACUGAGGCAAGCUUCGUAGAUGCUGCGGCAUAUGUCCUACACGAGGCAUUCGCUGUCUCCAUAGUCGACUCAAAUUCCAGGCUCA
rnacentral:lncRNA from 1 species